UUGAAAAUAAAAAAAAAAAUGAGAGAUGUAAUGAGUAGAAUAGUUUAAAAGGUCAAAGUAAAUAUGAAGAGUUGCCAAGUAUAACAGUUGAGAGUCACACGCAUAAAUGAAACGAGUGGAAAGGUGAAGUGACACAUCGAAACGUCAAAAGACGUGAGCAAGGCACUUGGUGUACGACGGACGACUCAAUAAGAUCGUUGAGAGGACUAACGAAACAAAUGUUCGACAACGUAGUCAAAAAAGUAACAAUUAAGUAAAAUAAAUUAACGAAAUUAGCAACGAGAAAGUAAUACGAAGUCGACGACCAAGUCAAGAGAGUAAAAGAGACCGGAGACGAUAGCCGGUCUUUUUGAGCGGUUUUGAGGGUCCACUUGCAAUUCGAGGGAAGAAAGGAAAACAUCCACGAUAAUUAAAAUCUGCGAGAACUUGAAGAAAAGCGACGUCAAAAGGUCCGAAGUGAUUAGGUGUAACACUGGGGGUCAUGUCCAAUGAUUGACAAUUUAUUUGAACACAAUGAAACGACACAAAAAACACUUAUGCAACAACUCUUUUGAUAAAUCUAAACACGAGGUGCAUGGGGACACACACACAACAGAACGAAACAAAACCGAAAAAAAAUUUAUGAACAUAACUCUACAUCAUAUGACUUGUUUUCUCAAGCGUUUUUUUUUUUC